rnacentral:sRNA from 1 species
GCUGGGUGCCGUGGUGCACACCUGUAAUCCCAGAGGCUCAGGAGGCUGAGGCAGGAGGAUAGUGAGUUAAGCCAGCCUCAGCAAUGCAAGGCGCUAAGCAAAUCUGCAAGAACCUAUUUCUAAAUCUGCAAGACCCUGUUUCUA